UCGUAGGUGACCUGCGGAAGGAUCAUUACCGAGUGAGGGCCCUCUGGGUCCAACCUCCCACCCGUGUUUAUUUUACCUUGUUGCUUCGGCGGGCCCGCCUUAACUGGCCGCCGGGGGGCUUACGCCCCCGGGCCCGCGCCCGCCGAAGACACCCUCGAACUCUGUCUGAAGAUUGUAGUCUGAGUGAAAAUAUAAAUUAUUUAAAACUUUCAACAACGGAUCUCUUGGUUCCGGCAUCGAUGAAGAACGCAGCGAAAUGCGAUACGUAAUGUGAAUUGCAAAUUCAGUGAAUCAUCGAGUCUUUGAACGCACAUUGCGCCCCCUGGUAUUCCGGGGGGCAUGCCUGUCCGAGCGUCAUUGCUGCCCUCAAGCACGGCUUGUGUGUUGGGCCCCGUCCUCCGAUCCCGGGGGACGGGCCCGAAAGGCAGCGGCGGCACCGCGUCCGGUCCUCGAGCGUAUGGGGCUUUGUCACCCGCUCUGUAGGCCCGGCCGGCGCUUGCCGAUCAACCCAAAUUUUUAUCCAGGUUGACCUCGGAUCAGGUAGGGAUACCCGCUGAACUUAAGCAUAUC
rnacentral:misc_RNA from 1 species